GAGGGACCGCAGUAGAGAUCGAGUCAAGAGCUGCCCGGAAAGCGCUCAGAGUUGGGGUGUCAAGGAGGCCUGUCAAAGGACAAAAGAUGAGAUUACUGGGCGGCAGGGUGCCCCAAACGUCCUAGGAACUGCGCCUCCGCGCUUCCUGUUAGCUUGCCGCCAAGUUUUUCUAGAGGAGUCGCUCCUUUUGGCAGGAGUGGCCUGUAGGUAUUUGUCUUCAGGUGAAACAGGAACAAAUGUAGGUCUACUGGGUUCUUGGCACAGUACCAUAUGGACCUGGACAAAGCAUUGUUAAGUUACAGAUUCCAUAUUGGAGAUCUUUGAUCACAGGAAACCACCAGGAAAAACAAACAAAUGGUAAGAUUCACGUUUCUUUUGGGACUAUUGUGUAUGAGGCAAAAUGUUUGCCAACAUUUUUUUUUCAUACAACACAUAUAUUGAGCAUCCACUGCUGUGCUCCACUCCGGCCAUGUAACGAUGAGUAAAAACAGAUAAAACCCCUGCUCAUAAAGCUAAUAGUUUAGUGUAACAGAUCACCAGUAACCAGAUAACCACACAGAAAUAUACAAAUGCAAAUUUAAC
rnacentral:lncRNA from 1 species